rnacentral:rRNA from 1 species
GACGAACGCUGGCGGCGUGCUUAACACAUGCAAGUCGAGCGGUAAGGCCCUUUCGGGGGUACACGAGCGGCGAACGGGUGAGUAACACGUGGGUGACCUGCCCUCAGCUCUGGGAUAAGCCUGGGAAACUGGGUCUAAUACUGGAUAUGACUCCACGGUGCAUGUCGUGGGGUGGAAAGCCUUGUGCGGCUGAGGAUGGGCCCGCGGCCUAUCAGCUUGUUGGUGGGGUGANGGCCUACCAAGGCGACGACGGGUAGCCGGCCUGAGAGGCGACCGGCCACACUGGGACUGAGAUACGGCCCAGACUCCUACGGGAGGCAGCAGUGGGGAAUCUUGCGCAAUGGGCGAAAGCCUGACGCAGCGACGCCGCGUGAGGGAUGACGGCCUCGG